GUGCCAGCCGCCGCGGUAAUACGUAGGUGGCGAGCGUUGUCCGGAAUCAUUGGGCGUAAAGAGCGCGUAGGUGGCUUGUCAGGUCCGGUGUGAAACCCUGGGGCUCAACCCCAGGCGUGCAUUGGAAACCGGCUUGCUAGAGUCUGGGAGAGGAGAGUGGAAUUCCUGGUGUAGCGGUGAAAUGCGUAGAUAUCAGGAGGAACACCGGUAGCGAAGGCGGCUCUCUGGAACAGUACUGACACUGAGGCGCGAAAGCUAGGGGAGCGAACAGGAUUAGAUACCCGAGUAGUCC
rnacentral:rRNA from 1 species